rnacentral:rRNA from 1 species
AUUGAACGCUGGCGGCAGGCCUAACACAUGCAAGUCGAACGAGUGGCGGACGGGUGAGUAAUGUCUGGGAAACUGCCUGAUGGAGGGGGAUAACUACUGGAAACGGUAGCUAAUACCGCAUACCAUCGGUUGUGCACAGAUGGGAUUAGCGAGUAGGUGGGGUAAAGGCGCACCUAGGCGACGAUCCCUAGCUGGGCUGAGAGGCUGACCGGCCACACGGGAACUGAGACACGGUCCAGACGCCUACGGGAGGCAGCAGUGGGGAAGAUUGCACAAUGGGCGCAAGCCUGAUGCAGCCAUGCCGCGUGUAUGAAGAAGGCCUUCGGGUUGUAAAGUACUUUCAGCGGGGAGGCGUUACCCGCAGAAGAAGCACCGGCUAACUCCGUGCCAGCAGCCGCGGUAAUAC